CGCAUUUGAUGACGGUGCGGAGGGGAGCAAGAGGUACCAGUCAGAUUUGUGCAGAAUUUGAGACAUACAGAAUUACCAUAGGCCCAUCAGAAUCAACAAUCUUUGCCAAACUUGAUCCGGACUGCAAAACUUACGAAGAUGUUUGCAUACUGAAGAAGAGUCCUUGGACAAAUAAUGAAACCCUCUUGGUGCCCACUACACAGGCAGGGGUGUCCAGACCUGAUCUAAGAAAGCCAGUGUUCUGUGGAGUUCAGCUUUAACACACCUGCCUUCAGGUACUUCAGGUAACUUCAGGUAAGACUUUUUUGUUUUAAAAUUCCCAAGAACCUUGAUUAGCUGGUUCAGGUGUGUUUAAAUGGCUAGAUCACCCAAAAAUAAAC